GCAUAUAAAACAAUUACAGAAUACAAUUAGAAUAACAACUUUUAUUGGUAUAUUUAUUUUUUCCAACCCCCAAGGGUCCGGGCACCAACCACCACCACUCAUUCUGCACAUGUUGCGAUAGGUCAGGUUCAUACGCCAAGUCCCGAAAACAAAAUUAAAUCAUAAAACAACCAAGAAGCGUGUGUCUGGGCACACUGCAAGCACGUGGGGAACAUAACCUCUACGCCAGGUAAGUAUUGGAGCAAACCUGUAACAAGUUACAUAUUACGACGUGGCGAUUUCCCCCUUGAAAGGCGGGUGGCCAAAUAAUUCCCCUCUACCCAAGGGUAGAGCGGUAACUUAAAACCUCAAAAAAAAAAAAAAUUAAAUCAUCAAAACGAAUUUUCGUUCCAUCGCAGUUCAGAAAGUCAGCGCACCAACACAUACAUUACUUGCAGUGGCUGUGUGAAUCAAGAAAAAAACGGUUUGGAGCGCUAAAAAUCAUUGGCUACACGCACUUAUACACAUGUAGCUGGGGCUUCUAGCUGCGUGCUCUACAUGCACUAAUACACAUGUAGCUGGGGCUUCUAGCUGCGUGCUCUACAUGCACUAAUACACANGCACAUGUUGCGAUAGGUCAGGUUCAUACGCCAAGUCCCGAAAACAAAAUUAAAUCAUCAAAACGAAUUUUCGUUCCAUCGCAGUUCAGAAAGUCAGCGCACCAACACAUACAUUACUUGCAGUGGCUGUGUGAAUCAAGAAAAAAACGGUUUGGAGCGCUAAAAAUCAUUGGCUACACGCACUUAUACACAUGUAGCUGGGGCUUCUAGCUGCGUGCUCUACAUGCACUAAUACACAUGUAGCUGGGGCUUCUAGCUGCGUGUUCUACACGCACUAAUACUUGUAGCUGGGACUUUGGCAGAGGCCUGAUACUCCGAGACGCACAUUCAGCGGUGACGUUUCGAUUGUAUGAAGUUGAGCGUCGACUAUUCUAUUUGGUUACUUCUGGCGUACAGCAGCUAGAAAGUAGUUUUUGCGCGACAUUUCUUAUCGGUUCCAUACGAAUAUCAUCCCUGAUUUUUCUAGCGGCCCUUUUUUUCGAUCUGUAUUGCAGAAGUACUAGGCUUGUUAUGGACGGCUUUCUGAAGUAGCCGAUAACCGACAGGGCUGGAGAAGAAGAUCAGACAGCGGCCUCUGCUGUGGAUCCGGGGAGGCUGAAAAAGGGUUGCAAGGUGGCAAUGAGAAGAGAAGGAAACGUGGCCGUCAAGGUUAUAUUGAGAGGGUCAGUUUCCGGGAAGAAUUACGAGAGAUCGGUCGGGAACCUAAAGAAAAAGUAAAAGAAUAAAAUCAGUGGCCAGACCCGUACAAAAGAUAAGAUAAGCAUGGGCUGAAGUAUUCAAAGCUUUUCACACUCUGGUUACGGGCCAUGCUAGAGACUGGUACUGGAUGUAUGUACGGACCGCAGGAGUGCCGGACUGGCCUAGUCUGAGAUAUGGACUCCAGCAACAGUUUCAGGUGCGGAAGACGGAGUUCGAGCUGGAGCAGGAGCUCAGAGAACGACGGCAGCGACACGGGGAGUCGACAGACCAGUACAUCCAGGAGAUGCUGUUGUUGAAGUCGAGAUUGGUGAAUCCAUUUUCGGACUACGAGCUGAUUAAGAUCAUCAAGAUAAAUGUCAGGGACUCCAUCUCGAGGGUGACUUACCCGAUGCAGGUUCCGAACCUGCAGAAGGUGCGGGAAGAGUGUGCCGAGGCCGAGAAGCUUCUGGCGACCCGAUGGGCAAGGAUUGGUCCAGACUAUGGGGGUGCUAGGCGCAGGGAAGAUCCCAAAGUGCAUGAGGUUCAGGCGGCAAAUCACGAGCCGGAGGAGCGGACAGAGGCACUAGAGGCCGUCUAUAGGACGAAGGAUCCGGGAGGUGACAGGGGACAAUUGAAGUGUUGGAAUUGUGCGCAGCCAGGACACACCUAUUUUGAGUGUGAGUCAGAAGUGCGGAACAUAUUCUGCUACAAGUGUGGGUCUGCCGGGGUAAUCCUCCCUAAAUGUCCGAAAUGUCAUCCGGGAAACGGGAGAAGGAGCACGACGCAAUUGUAUCACUGUAUCUGGGGGUCGAUUUCUGGCGAAAGGUUGGAUUGGCUCCGCAGAUAGUAGGCCUGGAACGAGAAGAGGAAUUAAAAGAGAUCGAGGCAGAGCUGCUGACGAUAAGUAGGCCGACUGAACCUCAUAAUUUAACCCAGUCGCAGCAAGUACGCAUGGAACAGGUGAAAGACAAAUUCGGUGCUUUGACAAGCACGGAUUGGGAAGGACGACGAUGGUAAAACACGAGAUACGCCUGGUGGAGGGAGCCGUGCCAGUAAAGGAACGCUUUUACCCGGUAUCCCCGGCGGUACAGGAGCUGUUGUUUGCGGAAGUCGACGAAAUGUUGCGUCUUGAAGUAAUCGAGCUGAGCGAAAGCCCGUGGAGCAAUCGAGUGACGCUGGUCCGUAAGCCUGGAAAAAACAGGCUGUGUUUGGAUGCUCGGAAGCUGAAUACUCUAACCGUCAAAGAUGCNNNNNNNNNNNNNNNNNNNNNNNNNNNNNNNNNNNNNNNNNNNNNNNNNNNNNNNNNNNNNNNNNNNNNNNNNNNNNNNNNNNNNNNNNNNNNNNNNNNNNNNNNNNNNNNNNNNNNNNNNNNNNNNNNNNNNNNNNNNNAGUGUACCAAGUAGCAUGGGCUGAAGUAUUGAAAGCUUUCCACACUCUGGUUACGGGCCAUGCUAGAGACUGGUACUGGAUGUAUGUACGGACCGCAGGAGUGCCGGACUGGCCUAGUCUGAGAUAUGGACUCCAACAACAGUUUCAGGUGCGGAAGACGGAGUUCGAGCGGGAGCAGGAGCUCAGAGAACGACGGCAGCGACACGGGGAGUCGACAGACCAGUACAUCCAGGAGAUGCUGUUGUUGAAGUCGAGAUUGGUGAAUCCAUUUUCGGACUACGAGCUGAUUAAGAUCAUCAAGAUAAAUGUCAGGGACUCCAUCUCGAGGGUGAUUUACCCGAUGCAGAUUCCGAACCUGCAGAAGGUGCGGGAAGAGUGUGCCGAGGCCGAGAAGCUUCUGGCGACCCGAUGGGCAAGGAUUGGUCCAGACUAUGGGGGUGCUAGGCGCAGGGAAGAUCCCAAAGUGCAUGAGGUUGAGGCGGCAAAUCACGAGCCGGAGGAGCGGACAGAGGCACUAGAGGCCGUCUAUAGGACGAAGGAUCCGGGAGGUGACAGGGGACAAUUGAAGUGUUGGAAUUGUGCGCAGCCAGGACACACCUAUUUUGAGUGUGAGUCAGAAGUGUGGAACAUAUUCUGCUACAAGUGUGGGUCUGACGGGGUAAUCCUCCCUAAAUGUCCGAAAUGUCAUCCGGGAAACGGGAGAAGGAGCACGACGCAAUUGUAUCACUGUAUCUGGGGGUCGAUUUCUGGCGAAAGGUUGGAUUGGCUCCGCAGAUAGUAGGCCUGGAACGAGAAGAGGAAUUAAAAGAGAUCGAGGCAGAGCUGCUGACGAUAAGUAGGCCGACUGAACCUCAUAAUUUAACCCAGUCGCAGCAAGUACGCAUGGAACAGGUGAAAGACAAAUUCGGUGCUUUGACAAGCACGGAUUGGGAAGGACGACGAUGGUAAAACACGAGAUACGCCUGGUGGAGGGAGCCGUGCCAGUAAAGGAACGCUUUUACCCGGUAUCUCCGGCGGUACAGGAGCUGUUGUUUGCGGAAGUCGACGAAAUGUUGCGUCUUGAAGUAAUCGAGCUGAGCGAGAGGCCGUGGAGCAAUCGAGUGACGCUGGUCCGUAAGCCUGGAAAAAACAGGCUGUGUUUGGAUGCUCGGAAGCUGAAUACUCUAACCGUCAAAGAUGCGUAUCCGCUUCAGAGUAUCGAGUCGAUCCUGAGCCGGGUGGAGGACACCGUGUUCAUCAGUAGCAUCGACCUGAAGCAUGCGUUUUGGCAGAUAGAGCUGGAGCCGGAGAGUAGGACGUAUACGGCAUUUACGGUUCCAGGAAGACCACUCUACCAGUUCAAAUCAAUGCCGUUCGGUUUGUGUAACGCAGCCCAGCGGUUGUGUCGGCUGAUGGACCGGGUAAUCCCGCAGCGACUCCGAAGCCACGUGUUUGUGUACUUGGACGACCUGUUGGUGAUUUCCCGAACGUUUGAGGAGCACGUGAAUCUGCUAGAGGAAGUCGCAAAGUGUCUGGAGACGGCAAACCUGACAAUAGGAAAGAAAAAGUCUAGGUUCUGCUAUAAGUACCUGAAGUACCUGGGGUACAUUGUGGGCGAGGGCGCACUGAGGACCGACCCCGAGAAGGUGCAAGCGAUCGUACAGAUACCGAUGCCGAAAAACGUGAGACAAGUCAGGAGAUUUUUGGGUACGGCGGGCUGGUAUCGGCGAUUCAUCCGGAAUUUUUCGGCACUUUCAGUCCCUCUCACAGACUGCCUGAAAGGAAAAGGACAAUUUCAGCUAACAACGGACGCACGAGACUCUUUUGAGGAGCUAAAAAAGGCA
rnacentral:lncRNA from 1 species